UACGAAGGGGGCUAGCGUUGUUCGGAAUUACUGGGCGUAAAGCGUGCGCAGGCGGUCUCGUAAGACAGGUGUGAAAUCCCCGGGCUUAACCUGGGAACUGCGCUUGUGACUGCGAGGCUGGAGUGCGGAAGAGGGAGGUGGAAUUCCACGUGUAGCAGUGAAAUGCGUAGAGAUGUGGAGGAACACCGAUGGCGAAGGCAGCCUCCUGGUCUAGCACUGACGCUCAUGCACGAAAGCGUGGGGAGCAAACAGG
rnacentral:rRNA from 1 species